rnacentral:rRNA from 1 species
UACGGAGGGGGCAAACGUUGUUCGGAUUUAUUGGGUGUAAAGGGUGUGUAGGCGGGCUUGUAAGUCGGAUGUGAAAUACUUUAGCUUAACUAAAGAACUGCAUUCGAAACUGCUUGUCUUGAGUUUGGGAGAGGAGAGUGGAAUUCUCGGUGUAAGGGUGAAAUCUGUAGAUAUCGAGAGGAACACCAGUGGCGAAAGCGGCUCUCUGGACCAAAACUGACGCUGAAACACGAAAGCUAGGGGAGCAAACAGG